CACCCCCUUCUACCCUUUUGCAUCUUGGGGUGGGGCUAUUUCACUCCAUUUCCGGCCCCAGCACACCCUGCACUUUGUCCCCAGCCGGAAGCUCAGCUUGCACACCCACCCUCGCCACCCUGAAGGCUGUCUGAUGGGACUCCUUUCCCUUUCUUGGCUUCCAGGGUGCAAGCUGUAAAAAGGAAGAGGUGGGAUUUCAGGAAGGUGAUUGGAUCAUUGGGGCAUGAUGCUCAUUACUGGAUUACCGGCUGGCCUGCUCAUCACUGCCAAGUGGGACUUGGUGACAGCCCCAGAGCCGUGCAGAGCAAAGGUUGAGAGGCAGCAGUUCCAGGGCUACCUGGCAGAUGCUUGCACCCCCAUCCAGACUUCAGAGCAGCGCAACCAUUGGUGACAGCAACCAGAAGGAGAUUAUGGAGCAGACCGGACGUGAGAACACAUUCCAGCGUAACUGUCUCCGUCACCCAGAUGCGGGAAGACAAGCUCAGAGCUCCCACUGGUUCUGUAUGGUGGUGAAUGGUACAAUUAUUCCAUUAAAUAUCACACUGUCAAAAUAGAAAUA